rnacentral:piRNA from 1 species
UCCCCGUAAUGGAACGAGCACAUCCUGCCU